CCCCCUAUAGCCCAAUCGGCAGAGGCAGUCGACUUAAAAUCGAUCAAGUGUGGGUUCGAGUCCCACUGGGGGGACCA
rnacentral:tRNA from 3 species